UGUGACGUGGACAAUCUAUAUAUAUUAGAUCGAGUGGCAUAUGAUUAGUAUAGUAGAAACACUUAUGGCAUGUUGAACACUUAGAAAAUAAGUGUGGCAUGAGUCCAAGAAUAUAGUAGUGUAUAUGACACAAGUGAUAGUAAAGAAUGCAAAGAAAAGAAUGAUGGAAAUAUUAUGACAUUUCAACCCUAGAGUUAGGGUCAUUUGAGCAUAGUCUUCCUAAAGUUAAGGAAUGGAUUGAACUUGACAUCCUCAAGAUUUUGGAUUUGAUCAUUGAUCAUACUCACCUUUAGUCCUUGCUCGAGGUUGUGGUAGCUCCCCCUCGGGCGAUGUGCUCCGGAGUCGACAUCACUGGGUUGUAGCGGUUAUCUCCCCAGAGGACGGUCCCACCGGGUUGUAGCGGGUAUCUCCCCGGUUAAUGGGAUUUUGGGUUGGUGAGUUUGUUGAGGGCGAAACCUUCGGGUUAGCCAAGUGAUUGGGUAAUAAACUUAUGAGCUAUAGUGAUGUCCUAGUUGAGGGGAUUUAAGGCCGAGGUGCAAGUGAGACGUCCUUCGCCUCGGGCCUGGCUUUGUGCGGUACUCCGCAGACGAUUGACUCAAGACCGAGUCGGGCGGUUAGCUUUGUAAAGAUAGAUGAAACUUUAUGAUUAAAAUGGUAAAUGACAGAAAACCUUAAAUGUCAAUUGGAUGAAAGUAGUAAUCGAUUGAAUUACUAGUUGAUUGUAUAGUCGCAUCAUUGCAUGAUCUUCAUAUUGCAUUCGUGAGGCAAUGCAUGGUUUUAUUCGUUGCAUAAUCAAGAUAUAUAUCUAUCUGUUUAUUGAACUAACUUGCAGUUGCCUCCCCGGUUAAUGGGAUUUUGGGUUGGUGAGUUUGUUGAGGGCGAAACCUUCGGGUUAGCCAAGUGAUUGGGUAAUAAACUUAUGAGCUAUAGUGAUGUCCUAGUUGAGGGGAUUUAAGGCCGAGGUGCAAGUGAGACGUCCUUCGCCUCGGGCCUGGCUUUGUGCGGUACUCCGCAGACGAUUGACUCAAGACCGAGUCGGGCGGUUAGCUUUGUAAAGAUAAAUGAAAACUUUAUGAUUAAAAUGGUAAAUGACAGAAAACCUUAAAUGUCAAUUAGAUGAAAGUAGUAAUCGAUUGAAUUACUAGUUGAUUGUAUAGUCGCAUCAUUGCAUGAUCUUCAUAUUGCAUUCGUGAGGCAAUGCAUGGUUUUAUUCGUUGCAUAAUCAAGAUAUAUAUCUAUCUGUUUAUUGAACUAACUUGCAGUUGCCUCCCUUGGACCUAUUGGUCGAGCUUUUCCCUUGGGUGGCCGUACCUACUGGGAACCAUGGAGUUGGUUCUCACCCUACGUGGUUUUCGGGUGUUACAGGUUCACACGUGAGCGGCGCGGCGGCACGAGGCGAGGGCGUAUCUCCCUAGUUAGCGCCCUACCACCGAGACCAGAGAUAGAGGUACCCUGAGUCGGCCUUUACUCAGGGAUGUAAGAAAAUGAAAAGAAUCAAGUUGUAAUAAUUUGUAAUAAAAGCUUGAUUGUAUUUGGAAGUUAAAUGUAAUAAGUAAUUGCGAUGUAAAAUGUAUCUAGUGAAUGUGAAUGCUUGUAAUAACAAGUAGAUUAUGUUUUUGAUACUUCCUUAUGCAAUCUUUGAUUGAAAUGUGUUCCUAGUUGGAACUUUGUACAUUGUAUUGAUUGCGACGCCUUGAAUGUACAGGGGAGACUCUGUCCGCGGUGCAGGGGAAAUCCUGUCCGUUCGGCGGUCUGUUGCGGCGCCGCGACCCGGCCAAAUAGACGGGCGGUCGCGGGGCGUGACAACGUAUAAUAUCCGUAUAAAUUACAUAUCCGAAUAAUUGGCGAAUUCGUUUUUUAGCCCUUUUUUUCAACGAAUUUAAAAAUUAGAAGACGAAUUUUAUUCGAAUUAUACCCGUACCGAAUUUUUGCCGAAUCCGAAUUAACUAACUAAGGCCAAAACCCAAAAAAU
rnacentral:lncRNA from 1 species